AAAGAGAAGGAGGGGCUAGAGCUUGAGAUGUGGGAGGCGAAGGAGGAGGCUGCAGCUACAGAGGUGGGGGAAGGGGAAGAAUUGGGAAUGGUCAAGGAGAAGAGCAGCGAUGUGCAGGUGGGCAGCCACAGUGGAAGUCAGGGUCACACAUGGUGGCCUGGAGGAGGAGCCCAGUCCAGGGAAGACCCAGGGAGGAAAAGGGUGGCUUCCUCUGGGACCCUUGUGCUGUCCACUGCUUUCUCUGGCCUCAGGUGGGCAAGGCAAAAACCAGACCAUACUCCUGAGGGCAGGUGGGGAAGAGGGCAUUCUAGGCUGGCCCUGUUCUUCACCUCCCAACCCAGGACAGAUCCCUAAGCUCUCUGACAUGAGUCCUCUCUUGCCAUUAUGAGGCUGCAGUGAAAUGAGGGAUAGGAAAUGGCUUUGUAACUAUUAAAAGGCUGCCUGGUUGCACAGGUCUGCUAUGGCCUUCUGGAGGACAGGGUAGGCAUGGACAAAAGAAAACCAAGCCUUACCUGAUUGGAAGACAUUUUUACUUUCACAGGGCAACCUGGGGCAUGCUUGCACCUGACUGCCUUACACAUGAGCCUCAGCCGUGCUUCCAGAGCCUUGUUCUGUGAUGGACACUUAGCAAAUAAUAAGCAGAGGCCUUGUCUGAAGGAGUGUCCAACUGCCCAGAUGCUACCAAGUGCCGAGCACCAGGACCUGCUCUGCUUCUGACUGGUUGGGUCACCUCAGAGAAGCCGAUGUCCUCACCUGAUAUCAAGACCAAAGCUGAAAAGGAAGAUUUGAUUCUG